AUUCUUGUGCUCGGGCACGUACUGUCGCCAGUGAGGUCUUUACCGAGGCACAGUCUUUUGCUGAUUGCAAAUUACACAUCCGAACACGUCUGUUAGCUUCGGCUUCCAGCAAUUUUUGGCAAACCCCCUUCCCAAUGACGACCUUCGUGGUCCGAGGGU
rnacentral:snRNA from 1 species